rfam:Glycine soja cultivar W05 scaffold4710_63, whole genome shotgun sequence.
AAACCCAAGUUGGAGUUCCCUGCACUCCAAGUCUGAAAGGAUAUGAUGGUAAACCUCUGCUGCUAGUUCAUGGAUACCUCUGGCCUCGUAACAACAUGCGUUCGAAGUCAAGGGUUUGCAUGACCUGGGAGAUGAGUUUACCUUGACCUUUUGGUAUUGGAGUGAAGGGAGCUCCAGAGGGUAUUCUC